rnacentral:rRNA from 1 species
GAUGAACGCUGGCGGCGUGCCUAAUACAUGCAAGUCGAGCGAAUGGAUUAAGAGCUUGCUCUUAUGAAGUUAGCGGCGGACGGGUGAGUAACACGUGGGUAACCUGCCCAUAAGACUGGGAUAACUCCGGGAAACCGGGGCUAAUACCGGAGAACAUUUUGAACCGCAUGGUUCGAAAUUGAAAGGCGGAUUCGGCUGUGACUUAUGGAUGGACACGCGUCGCAUUAGCUCGUUGGUGAGGUAACGGCUCACCAAGGCAACGAUGCGUAGCCGACCUGAGAGGGUGAUCGGCCACCCUGGGACUGAGACACGGCCCAGACUCCUACGGGAGGCAGCAGUAGGGAAUCUUCCGCAAUGGACGAAAGUCUGACGGAGCAACGUCGCGUGAGUGAUGAAGGCUUUCGGGUCGUAAAACUCUGUUGUUAGGGAAGAACAAGUGCUAGUUGAAUAAGCUGGCACCUUGACGGUACCUAACCAGAAAGCCACGGCUAACUACGUGCCAGCCGCCGCGGUAA